ACGAGAGGUGCGAGCGUUAUUCGGAAUAACUGGGCGUAAAGGGUGCGUAGGCGGUUUGUUAAGUCUGUUGUUAAAUUCCCCAGCCUAACUGGGGGCAAGCAGUGGAUACUGGCAGGCUAGAGGAUGGAAGAGAGAGGUGGAAUUCUCGGAGCAGCGGUAAAAUGCGUAGAUCUCGAGAGGAACACCGAUGGCGAAGGCAGCCUCUUGGUCCAUAUCUGACGCUGAGGCACGAAAGCGUGGGGAGCAAACAGGA
rnacentral:rRNA from 1 species